rnacentral:rRNA from 1 species
CUUGGUCAUUUAGAGGAAGUAAAAGUCGUAACAAGGUUUCCGUAGGUGAACCUGCGGAAGGAUCAUUACAAAAUGAGAGAGUGAGUGUAGGAAUGUACUAGAAUAAAAUAUUAUAAUAUUUACACAAUUACACACAACUUGCCACCUUGGAUCUCUGGGCUCUUGCGUCGAUGAAGAACGCAGCAAAACGCGAAAACGUGUUAUGACAUGCAGUCUUUGAGAAUGAAUGACUUUUUGAACGCACCGUGUACUCGUGUGUCUAGCAUGAGUAUGUUUGUUUGAGCAUGGAAAAAUAAUUUUUACUAAUAUGAGGAUUAGGGAUACCUAUUCUUGAAAUACAAUACGAUCACGUGUGGUUGUCACUGGAACAAACUUUCUUUGAUAAUCACACCACAUCCACCCAAUCUACACACACACCUAUCUCAAAUCAAACAAGAAGACCCGCUGAACUUAAGCAUAUCAAUAAGCGGAGGA